UACGGGGGGGGCAAGCGUUGUUCGGAAUUACUGGGCGUAAAGGGCUCGUAGGCGGCCAACUAAGUCGGAUGUGAAAUCCCCAAGCUUAACUUGGGAACUGCAUCCGAUACUGGAUGGCUUGAAUCCGGGAGAGGGAUGCAGAAUUCCAGGUGUAGCGGUGAAAUGCGUAGAUAUCUGGAGGAAUACCGGUGGCGAAGGCGGCAUCCUGGACCGGCAUUGACGCUGAGGCGCGAAAGCUAGGGGAGCGAACGGG
rnacentral:rRNA from 1 species